GCCGCCGUGCUGGCCACCCGCGCGGGGCCCGCCGCGCUCACACUGCGGACGCCCUAUUAUCAAUUUCUGUGCAACUGCUUGGAUCGAAUGGCCGAGGAGUCGCAGUGGGCGGACACGGGGGACUAGCUGCCCACGACUUAACUAAUAAAUGACAUCGCUCGACUCACUCGACUCACUCGACGACCGUCUAAUAUCCAGUAUUUAUAAUUUGUAUAUUGUUUUAUUGUAUCAUUCCUACAAGUAUAGUGAAAUUAUACAACGCCAUAUGUAUUAAAUGUUACUUCUCGUAUUAUAACUAUAUUAGAGAUAUAUUAUUAUUAUCGAAAUAAAAUCGUACUUAUAAUUAAAUUAUUUAAAAUUUUAACAUUAAUUUUACACGAUUUUUACAAUUAUAAUAAAUGAACAAUCGCAAUAUGAAAUAUAGUGAAAUGUCUAUUGUAGUUAAUUAAGAUGUAUUUUGUUUCCUUCGCGGUGUAUCGUAGCUUAUGUAGACAAGACAUAAAUCUAUAUAAAAGUAUAACUAAAUAAGCAUGUAACAUAGAUUUAAUUUUGAGUUAAUAUCGAAUACUAUAUUAAAAUAAUAGAGUGAAAGAGAUGCUGUCACAAAUAUGUAAACUAAUUGGUGCAAACAGCCACAAACAACUGCUACAGUGUAAUAUUCGUUACAGCGAGUCAACAUUGCCAUUAGCCUUUCCGGUCCUGGAAAACUAAUCGCGCGGUAUUCCUCAGAUCGACGCGAAUUUUGGCGCUCGCGCAGCGUUCUUUCAAUGUGUAUUAUUUUACGUGUAGCAAUAGAUUGCUUAUAAUUAGGAUGAUUUGAGUGAAUGUAUGCGAGAAAGCUUUAUUUUGCAUAGUCUUACAGCUAUGAUUUUAUACUUUGUUUACUAAAAAUUGUCAUAAAAAUGGUUUAAGUUUUCUUUCGUGUUAAUUCCGCCAAUAUUUAUUUUUAAAACAAUUCGACACGUGUUUCGCCUCUACACGAGGCAUCCUCAAGAUUUAUUGUCUCGCCAAAAUCUGGCACGAGACUGUAUUUAAGUAUACAAAUGAUUUAAGUUUUCUUUCGUGUUAAUUCCGCCAAUAUUUGUUUUUAAAACAAUUCGACACGUGUUUCGCCUCUACACGAGCCAUCCUCAGGACUUGUUGUCUCGCCAAAAUAAGGAAGACUUACGUCUCGUGCCAGAUUUUGGAGAAAGAAAACUUAAAUCAUUUGUAAAAUUUGCCAGAAAGAAAACUUAAAUCAUUUGUAUAAAUGGAUUUCCGCAAAGUAACGCCUAAUUCUAUAAUUUUUUUUUUCAAAAAUUGUCGUGCCAUGAGGUUCAAAUAUUUAAUAAACUUCCCGAUGCUAUUAAAAUGUUGAAUAUCGGUCCUUUUAAAACUCAAUUAUAUGAAUGUCUAAUUAAUUACAAUUUCUAUGCUGUAUCUCACUUUUUAAAUUUGUGAUUUUCAUUUUUAUAAUCUUAUGUUUAACUUUGAGUACAUAUGUAUAUCACAUGUAUAUUUUGUGUAGAUGCUAAUAUAAUGUAACAAUGAAAUAUUAUGUGCAAUGUUAGAAUUUUUUUAUUACAUGAUGUUGGAGGUAAUGUAAUUUGCAUGCCCUUUUUGGCUAAUGUGUUGAUUCGUAUAGGACUUUGAAACACACGUUAUGUAAAUAAAUAAUUAUUAUUAUUAUAAGACCAUGCAAAAUAAAUCAUAUUAUAAACAAAAUAAAGGUCAGAACUUGGUGAUGGAGUAGGGUGCCGUACGGCACUUCCGGUUUUGGUGUAUCUGUAUAUCUUGUAUUUGGGCAUAUUACGUACAUGGAAUCAGUUGCACGUAUUUCGUAUUUUCAUGCCAUCAUACGAUUAUGCUGCUAGGGAUUUUUUUUAUCCUUAUUUAUUUUUUUCCACCACUUUCUUCUGCCGUGAAGCGGCAGAGUGCAAGAAUUGUUGUCUUUCGGUUUGAGAACUUAACAUCCUAUACCACAAAGUGACGAGCGAACGACAAAUUGGGAUGCCGCUCAUAACAUUGGGUUCAAUCAAGGAUCCUGAGCGGGGUCUAAGGGCUGGGCGUAUCACAGUUUUUCUCAUAGAAAAAAAAACCUGUAAAUUUAAAUAUGCGUAUCAAAUGUGCUGUUCAUAGGUAUGAGGCAACAUGUUAUAUAUACAAUGUUUUUGUCACAACCCUUUCAUUUCUUCAGCGACUACACAGGCAGAACAAAGGAGUUGACGAAGCGAGAUUGAGUGCCAGCUAUUUUUAUUUAGAAUAUAAACAUUCGUUUUGUUUUCAAUAAUGAACGUUUUGAACAAAUAGUAUUGAAAGUAGUCUCAAAUGAAGUAUGAAGGCGGACAUAAAUUAUGGUGUCGACUGUUGGAUUUUUUAAUAUAUUCAAUAGGGUACCUGAAACAACUUGUAUGUGUGUGUGUUGAAGCAAUUACUCCAUAAAGGUUGCUUGAAACAUUGACGUUGGAAGAAAUAUUGUGAUGUGUACUGUCAAACAAUCUGAUUUGUGCAUUCAACUGGUCCAUAUGGUGGCUAUUUUAAUAUUUUUCUUGCUUGCUAGGUUUUGAAUGGAAUUAUUGAUAAUUGAUGUUAACGAUAUAUUUGUUUCUUUGUGAUAGAGAAAAUAAAAUGAACCUUUUACUCCUAAGUAGAUGUUUAUGAAAAGAGACAUUGUCUGAUCAGCAAUAUGAGAGAAAGAGUUAAAAGUCAGAUUCUGUCAACCUUAUGGAAAACCUUAGCAGAAGAUUUUAGUGGUACUAUAUACUAGAAGUAUUGCAGUAUCACUAAAACCAUUCUAAGACUAUCGGCAACUGUUAAAUAUUAUAAUGUCGGCGCCAUCCUGCAUUAUCUAAAUCGGUGUAAAAUCGUCUAUAUCUGUUUGACGAUUAAUCUAUUCCUUUACAAUAUAAUAACUGUUAUUGUAAAACUGUCCUAAUGAUAGCAGUGUUUGUAGUUAGAGUGAUCUCAUCAAUAUUGUUCAUAUAGCCAAUGUAAAUUAGUUUACGUUGUAAAAGCGUUAGAAUAGCAAUUAUUAUUGGUUACGGUUAUGGAACCGUUCGCUUCCCUGUACCGCCUUACAUAUCCUGGUAGCGUAUAUUAAUUGUAAUCUAUAAACUUAACUUUCUAUCUUUUUAACUUCUAUCGCCGCGUGCGUCAAUUAUCUAGUAACAAAUGAUCAUAAGUCACUGACCUCUACUAUUUACCACUGCUCUGACGGCUGUCAAAGUGCUUUUGUGUCUGUAUGAUAUUCGCCAUUUUGGCGCUUGUGGCCAUUUAGCGAGAGUCUGUGGUACUUAAACCAAUAAUGACCACCUCAGCUAAACAAACAUCGAUAGGAAAACAAUUUACAAAAUAAAAUUGUGUACUUUAUAACGUUGAUUCCUGAAGUAUAAAUAACACGAAAAAUGACCAAAAUUAAUUCAAAAUGCAAAAAUACUUCAGAGUAUUGUACGCUUCUCUCGCAGCCAUUUGUAUUAUACGUCAAAAUUAGUUCUCUGGACGCUCGCGAGGCACUUCGCAAACACAAAUAGGCACAAAAAAUUUGUUGUCAAAUUUAUGGAACAGCCUGUCCAGUGAUAUUUAUAUAGGUCAGUGUCAUAAGUAUAAUAUAAGACACCUAAUUGCUUAGGGAUUUAAAUAAGUUUGAGAAAAAUCAUUAGAAAUACGUCGACAGGAAGUCGCGUUUUAUCUUUUUAGAUUAUCGAAUUUAUUUUGUUUUAUGAUAAUUACUUAUUAUUAUUAUUAAAUAAUAAUCAAAGGAACUUCGAUUUCUAUUUAGUGAAAUGUAUUUUAUAUAUUAUUUUAUUGGUCCUUCGAGUCAGAUCACAGUAAUUUAAUCUAAAAUACGUGGGGAGUAAUUAUCAUGUAAUAUUUAAAUAAGGUUUUAUGUUAUCUAUACCAGGCUCCUUUGCACAGGAAGCCGGCUAGAUUAUGGGUACCACAACGGCGCCUGUCUCUGCCGUGAAGCAGUAAUGUGUAAGCUUUAUUGUGUUACGGUCUGAAGGGCGCCGUAGCUAGUGAAAUUACUGGGCAAAUGAGACUUAACAUCUUAUGUCUCAAGGUGUUGAGCGCAAUUAUUGUAGUACCGCUCAGAAUUUUUCUGUUUUUCAAGAAUGCUGAGCGGCACUGAAUUCUAUUAAAAAUAUAUUAAUUUUAAUGGUAUAAUGAUUUGAAAUAUAUUUUGCUUGAAGGACUUGGCUGGAGUGAUCUAUAAAUGUAAAGUUUCACUGUGAUUAAUUUAACGAAAUUAUAAUAUCACAGAAGUUUGUCGUUAGUAUUGACAGGCUGAAGUUCAGUGAUAUUAAUUGAGAUAACGUUAAACAAAUUGUUUUAUUUAGAAAUUUAUAAAACUAAUGAUGUUUAUAUGAUAAGUUUUAACAGUUAAGCUUAAGUUGGAAUAAAAUUCAUAUUUUUAAAUAUUUAAACGGUUUUUGUAUAUCGGUAUUGUUGGUCAUUGAAAUGUAGUGUUAUAUUUGAGGGAAUUUAUUUUGCAUCGUACGCGUUUUAAUCGAUAUUUGUGCCACACGCACUGACCUAUACUAUUUACCACUGGACUGGCGGCUGUCAAAUUACUUUUGUGACUGUUUGAUAUUCGCCAUUUUGGCGCUGCUGGCCAUGUAGCGAGAGUCUGCGGUACUAAAACUAGUGUUGACGACCGCAGCUAAACAAACAUCAAUAGGAAAACUAUUUACUACUUUACUAAUACUUCAGAGUAUUGUACGUUUCUCUUGCAGCUAUUUGUAUUAAACGUCAAAACUAGUUCUCUGGACGCUCGCGAGUGGCGCUUCAAAUAGGCACAAAAAAUUCUGCUGUCAAACAUAUGAAAUAGCCUGUCCAGUGGUAUUUAUACAGGUCAGUGGCCACACGUAUCUGUCCUGUGUUGCGUUCUUCUCGUUUCUGUUUAAAUAUUAUUGCGCUGUUUCCCGUUUUUAUGAAUUAAGAAUAAUAAUAAUAAUGAAUUCUUCCCAAGGAAGCCCUCAUAAAAUCUUCGGUGUCCAUUUUUAUUGUGGACGACCUUACGUGGUACAUUAUUGAUUUAAAUCAACUUGUUCACGGUUCAUCGGUGAUGGUACCGACUAGUUUCGGAUCUUUCAGAGGUCCUAGUGUGCUCGCGGUAACGUCCCAUCUAACACUCAUUUGAGUGCUUGUGUGGUUUACAAAAUUUUGUUGAAAGUAUAUUACGAUUUUAUUAGGUGAUACUUCCUGUAUUUUUUUACGGCAGUUGAUGUUUGUCACAAUAUCAAUGGAGUCCUGCACCCUACAAACAUAAUACUAUAAAUGCUUUCUACUUUUUUAUUUUAAUACAUGUUUUCACGUUGAUUAACACAAGUAUUACACAUUUGAUGUUAACGUGCAGUUUUAUAUACUUGUUUAUUAUUAUUUAUUACACAAAUUAAAUUUGAAAACAAAAUCUGUGACCGAUGCGGUACUCGAACCCACGACCAUAAAUCUUGUAUGUCUUGUUCAACUCUCAGGUUGGAAGAGCGCUCGCGCGGAAUGUGAGAGGUCGCCCAUUCGAGUCCCGCAUCGAUGAUAAAUUUUGUUUUCAAAUUUAAUUUGUGUCUAUAAUCCCAGAAGUGAGGGUUGUCACUUUAAAAAAUAACAAAUUGUUUGUUCUUUAUUGUUUUAAAAUAUAACAAAAUAGUGUCAUUUAAUUAUAAUUGAUUUAUAUUGAAAUUAAUUUAUUGAAGAAUUGUCAUAUAAUAUAUACUUAAGGAGAAUACCUCUUGAAUUCUUUUCACACUUGCUAUUUCUUUUACUUAAGUUAAGAGUAAAAGAGAUAGCCCCGCCUAUACCGUGUCAUUAUAUUUUGAAUGUACUUGUGCCCCUAACAAGUUAGACACAGACAAGUUUAGUUGUAUUUUCUUUGAUUAACGCGAGUGUUACGCAUUUAAAUAAAACACCUUUUAAGGGAUUAAAAGACGUGUAAUUGUAACUUAAAACUCUGUUUUUACAUUAGAUUUAUGCGUAAAAGUUUCAUAUUUAUUUUAGUUAACGCGACGUUCCAAGACCUUUUCAGAUCUCGUUUUUGUAACGUCCCCCUUGAAACGUUUUAAUCCUUUAAAAAGUGUUUUAUUUAUACAUAUUAAGACGCGGGCCACAUAUACUUUAUUACAGUAUUUAUUACGAGUUCAAAUAGUUUAACCAAUUUGAUGUAUGGUUUUUGUAUAUAGAUGUAUUUAUAUAGUGUUCGAACAGUUAUAAAUUUAUAAAGCGUUCGUUUUAUGACAUUGUGUACUUAGCUUACUUGGUUGGAAUUGAGUCGAUGGUGGUAGCUUUAUAAUAUUAUAUAGUUCUAUGAAUUUUAUUGAAAUUGGAGAUUUAAUACACUCUCUCUCUAGUCGUUCCCUCAUGAAUGAGGAUCGUGGUCAUCAACAAGUGGUCCACACUUGGAGUGGACUAUUUGUUUCCAUCGGCUUCUGUCCUUCGCGGCCCUAAACGACGGAGCUAAACCACGGGGACCUGGAGUCAUUAAUUUGGUCGCUCCAUCUAGUAAGAGAUCAACUACUAUCAAUUUCUCCAGGCUAUCAUUACCCCUUCGCAUUAUGUGGCCAAAAUACGAAAGAAUUCGUUGGUCGAAUAUCGUGGACAGACAGGUUUUUAUCAAGAUAACGAUGAUCAAGAUAAAAGAGCUGUGAGAUAAUCGACACAUUUGUUCUCUUGACCGUCCAAGGUAUCCUCAACAUACGCCUCCAGCACCACAUAUCCAAGGCAUCAAUCAAGGCCUUUCUCUUUAAUACACAGUAGUGAAUAAUAACAGCGACUUCACAGUAUUUUCGUGCUUGUAUAAAUAUAGAAUACGAUCCCGAAUAUAAUAGCAGCCGAGUAUGCGGUGCGACCUGUUAGACGAGCAUUUUUAUUAGUUCCUAUGUCUGUAAUAUAUACUACGUUAUUGUAUAAUCUGCCACAGGGACGGCAUGAGCUGAAAACACAGAGACAUUGCAUUAAUACUAUAUUAUUUAAAAUAUUUAUUUAAUAAUUAAUUUAUUCGUCUUAACUAUUCAGAGUGUUUAGUUGAAUAAAAUAUUUAUUGGACAUAAUACAAUGAAUAUUUCAAUGCUCGAUAGUUCUAAACGAUAAACAAUAAAGAAAUCAUGUAUAAAGAUUUAAUUGGUGUAUACGCCACGAAAAUCGCAAAACAAAUGAUUAUCCCGUAGGAUAUUUCGUAAGUCUAUGUGCAAACAUCGUCAAUAGUCAACAGCUGUUUGCAACAGCAGCAAUUUGAAUCAUAAUCUCAUAGUGCGUUAACAAUAAAUAUAAUUUGCUCUUACUAUUGGCAGCUCAGCUUCUAUCAUAGGUUAGCCACGUCUUGAUGUUACUAUUAACACGCAAGACCAGCGUCCAGUGUGUAUGUACCUUAAUGUAGCAACACGUGCAAUAAUCACUCGCCUCAAAGGACAGCUGGCUGGCUAUUGUUAUAUCAAAUUUGUCGUUACGCAGUUCAGCUUUUGCAUGUACUUAAUAUUAAGAGAGCAUAACAAAGAGCGUUUACACACAGAGCUGACGCGGCGCGGGUUUACGAACUCCUAUCCUUCCUACAAUUACGUGGAUACGUGAUGACUCCUUUAUGUAUGUUGUGAGAAAAAUGGCUUAUUUAAUUAUUUACAAAUGUAUUUUCGCUCGUGCAACCCAUAAACUCAGUAUACUAGCGCAAUAGACAUAAUCCUGCUUAUUACGGCGAGACUAAAUUUAAAAUGUUCAUUUGUGCUAGUUUUAUAGAUGUGUUAGUGAGUUAGUGAAGUGAGCAGUAUUUUGCUUUUAGAUAAUCCCUAUGUCAAAUAUUGAUAAACGGCGUCAUAUUCACGUAUAUAAUAUUUUAUUUUCUAUCACAUAUUUAUUUUUAAUUAAUAUAAUCUUUACUGCGUAUAUAAAAUGUAAUACAAAAUAUUUUACUGAAUAUGUUCUACGAAAAUAAAUAAAUGUUUCUUUAUUUGGAUUGUUGCUGUAGAUAACAACUCAAUCUAACUAAGAGCACGACACCUAAAUAUUUUUUAAUUAAUAUCCGUUAAAACACAAAAAUUACGAUAUAAACACAAAAAAUGAAAAUGCAGUCUAAUUUGACAGGAGACUAAUGGACACUAAUUUGAUUCAAAACGGUUUCACGGUCCAUCUAUUCCGUCUCUUUCUCACACCUAGGUUUUUGUGUAAGGAUAGGUAUCUCACUCUCACACAGGGUUCGUCUUUUACGCUAGUAUACUAAGUUUAUGGUGUAACGACUAACCCCAAGCCUGUUAAUGGAUUGGUGGAGUAUAACAUGUUUACGGUUGUAACUGUUGAUUGGUGUCGAACUUACCUAAAGUAAUAUAAUAUAAAAAUCAUGUUAUAUACUGUUUCCGCUUCUUCGCUAGCCGUUUCUGGAUCAUUAACCGCUAUAAUACUUGAGAAAUGUAUGACUCCCGUGAAAAUAUCAUUAGUUUGUGUUAAAUACUGUUGGUGUUGAGUUGCCGCACCGGUGCCGCGCGCCGCCCUUGUGUCGCACAUCUUAUAGUUGUGUGUGUCGUUUAAUACUGUAAUCAUGUAAUGUACUUUAUGACUAAUGAAAUAAUUAUUAAUACGAAUAUCAGUCUUGAAUGUUAAAUUUAAAUUUUCUAUCAAUUUUAUAAUAGUUUUUGCUGAUGUGUAUGGAUUAUGGAUCAUUGUAACCUAAAUAUUAUAACGAUAUAAUUAAAGUGGUGAUAAAUAAUA